AAGUCUCGCAGCCUCCUCAGUAUGAAUGGAGGAGCAGCGGAGGAGAACAAGCCCUGGUGCAGGAGUGAAGAAAGUUUAGAGAGAGGCAGAGGAGGAGCGCACAUGGCUCCCAGUGCGUCGGGAUGGCUUUUAUUACGCACGGCAACACGUUUGAAAGUGAAAGAGAGAAAGAGCUGUCAGGUGUACAAUUGGUGCACAUGCGCGCCUCGGCCAACGUUACUGAGUUUUGAAAAAAGAAAAGUGAAAGACAGGACGUGUUGAGUGCCAGUGACGAUGAGGGGUUUUCAGAGAAGACCUUCUGAUGAAGAGGAGGAUGAGGACUGACUAACUGGUCUGACGUGCAGGUUCACACCACGUUGAAGCGGAGGGGAAACCACGAGAACAUCUGAUGACGUGCUGCUGAGUCAGUUUGGGGUAAUGACAUCACGAGAUGGUUGGCUGGUGGACGGAGACCGCAGCCAGCGCGGAGGAGCUGCUGGGGUUGUGAGGCGCGGUUUGCAGCUGCUGGUUCAGAAAAACACACAAAUGUGCUCUGGAUUUUGUGAAGAAUUUGUUGAAAUGUUGAAGGGAAGAACACAUGCAUGAGGCUCUGAAGGGGCCGUGAGGAGGGAUUCUGUGGUUGCAUUGCACCAGACGACCAUUAAACACCUGCAGGAGGAUGUAAUUUUCCGAGUGCUGAGGAUUGGCAAACGUUGUGCAGCCUGUGGGCUCCACACCCAGUGAAGUACAUCCUGAAUGCUGGUGACCACAGGAAGUAACACACAAGUAAAAGAUAACAUAGACUCUGAAGCCGAGUGGGUUUAACUUUAUUUAUUUAUCAUAAAACCAGCUGCUGUGAGGCUUUAUCUUCAAAUGUUGAAUCAUUAAGAGACUUAGAGUGAAAGAGGAACUAAGGUAAGGGAUUUUACAUGUAAAUUAAGUGUAAUAUGUAUAUUUUUUUAUGUAUACAUAGUGAAAUAUAUAUUUUUUUAUUGUCAUGUAACUUGUGUUCCUGGAAGCUAAACACUUUAUAAAUAAAUCAGACUUGAGGCUGAUUUUUGCUGAAAAAAUAUAUUCAAAGUGUUUGGAAUAAGAACAGUUUGUUAAACAAAGAAUUUAAUCAGAAGAACAAACAUUAAACUAACAGACACCGUGAAGUGUGAGUCGCUCGUCACAGGGAAACGAGCGGAUCUGGAAAGUUCUGAUUGUAGAACACAGAAGAUCCAUUGUUCUGUCAAGUAAAUAACAGUCAUACAGUU